GACGAACGCUGGCGGCGCGCCAAACACAUGCAAGUCGAGCGGAGAUGAUGUGAGGAAGUUUUCGGAUGGAAUCACAUUAUUUUAGCGGCGGACGGGUGAGUAACGCGUGAGCGACCAACCUUGCACAGGGGGAUAACGGACCGAAAGGUUCACUAAUACCGCAUGAGACCACGGUGUUGCAUGACACAGGGGUCAAAGGAGCAAUCCGGUGCAAGACGGGCUCGCGUCCGAUUAGGUAGUUGGAGGGGUAACGGCCCACCAAGCCUAUGAUCGGUAGCCGACCUGAGAGGGUGAUCGGCCACAUUGGAACUGAGAUACGGUCCAAACUCCUACGGGAGGCAGCAGUGGGGAAUAUUGGGCAAUGGGGGAAACCCUGACCCAGCAGCGCCGCGUGAAGGAAGAAGGUUUUCGGAUUGUAAACUUCUGUCCUUGGUGAAGAGAAGAAGACGGUAGCCAAGGAGGAAGCCCCGGCUAACUACGUGCCAGCCGCCGCAGUAA
rnacentral:rRNA from 1 species